UGAGCUAACGGGAACUGGGCUGAGA
rnacentral:piRNA from 1 species